GGUAUAUGGAGUUAAGCCUGUUCACUGCCUGCCGAUUGAUCACUUGUGUGAAUAAGAGAGAGAGAGAGAGAGAGAGAGAGAGAAAACGCUUGACAGAACAAGUGAUUUUAUAUCAUGGUGAGAAAUACGUCUGCAUGUAGAACGCAGCUCACUACAGAUCAUGCCAGUAAAGGAUGACAAGAGAAAAAGAAAAAAUGAAAAAUAGAGGGCAGUGAAAGGAAGAAGAAAAAUAUGGAAAGUAAAUGGGAUGAUAUGUGUUAGUGCUGAUGUCUCAGGUAAGAUCUUUGUUUUUGUGUGUGUGAGAUGGAUUCAGUCAUGACACCGUGUGCAUCACUCAACCUGAGACUUCAUGAAGUCUGUGAUUCCAGAGUCAGGAACAGAAAACGAUGCAAGAGAAAGAAAAAUCUGAUUUCUGGGAAGUGCAGCAGGUGAUGUGAUUCUGUAACUUCACAAUCAGAAACACUGUCUUACAGCUGAAGACCCAAACUCUGAUGAUCCGAGAGCUCCAGAAAUCACUCCAGAUGACAUACAGAAUAUAUAUAUGUAUAUAAGAAACAUGAAUAUGUAAUGAGACUGUGCGCGCGCGCUGCUGCAGGACUUUAAACUCGUGUUUUUCUCUCUCUCUAGUUUCAGCAGCAGAAGUUCGAGGGGAAACAGUCGCGUUCACGUCAAUGAAGUGGUUUCUCCAGCACAGCUACAGCAAAUGACAUUCCUUUGUGUCUCAAUGAAUGGCAUCUCUGACCUUCCCAUUGAGAAAAAUGCCACAGUAAGCCCCGCCCCGCUGACACGAUAGGUCAGAAUCGAGCGGUGCCGCCCACCCGAGCUCCCGCCUCUCUUUAAAGGGGCCAGACCGGCAACAUGUGACUCGAUUACAGCGUGGGAGUAAAAAGGGGAGAGAAGAACGGAUCAGGACAGGAAUAAGGGGAAGCUGGAGGACAGGAAUGAAGGAAAAGAAGAAAAAGUUGGAGAUAUAAAGGGGCAGGCGAGAGGUUUCCGCUGGACUGGAAUGGUGAGAGGGUGAAAUUCCAGCACUGCUUCCCUGAAAGACACCAACACUUCACACCGGACUCGCUGGGAAGGAGGAGAAAAAACACUUGAGGAGCAACUGAGUCACAUGCAGGUCAUUAGGGAGGAGGAGACGAGAGAGGGACAGCGAGGGACGUCCUCCACCAUCUAACCUCACAGGAGCGUGCGAUUGUGUGACGAAGCAUUUGCUGACGGACGGCACUGAUGACAGAAGCGUCACGCUCACUGACGUCCAGCCCUCGUCCUGCCAAAUCAUGGAAACUUGGUGUGUCAUGUGACAUCAUGGAAACAGGAGAUGCUGCGAGUGGAAAUAGAGCCGUCACACGUCAGUCAUGUGACCAAACGAGAAGGGCGGCAUGACGAGGUCAAGAUGACAAGCUUCCGUCAUCACUGAUAAUUCAACAUUUAGGAAAUAAUCAAGGUCAGUUGUUUAUAGGUGUACGUCAGGGUUCCAGAGCCGCGUGCGCCGUACUCCACGCUGAGUCAGCGCUCCUAAUCGGGAACGCUCCCGUCCUGUUUAACUUUCCACGGUCAGUCCCUGAGGCCGCGGCGUCUGUUUGAACUCAUUUUCCAGGCCACAUCUCACUUCCAGGCUAUUAUACAAUCAGUUGAGAUUAAUGCACCUGUUUUGGUUGCAUUCUCUGCACAGGCAGAUCUCAUGAACUCCACUCGUCUCCUUUCAUUGACAGAUGACAUUUGCAUCAGUGUUGUCCAUUCAAUCACAUCAAUCU